UACGUAGGGGGGCAAGCGUUGUCCGGAUUCAUUGGGCGUAAAGGGUGCGUAGGCGGCGCGGUAAGUCGGGUGUGAAAUCUCGGAGCUUAACUCCGAAACUGCAUUCGAUACUGCCGUGCUUGAGGACUGGAGAGGAGACUGGAAUUUACGGUGUAGCGGUGAAAUGCGUAGAUAUCGUAAGGAAGACCAGUGGCGAAGGCGGGGUCUCUGGACAGUUCCUGACACUGAGACACGAAGGCCAGGGGAGCAAACGGG
rnacentral:rRNA from 1 species